rfam:Hepatitis C virus genotype 5, genome
UUCACGCAGAAAGCGUCUAGCCAUGGCGUUAGUAUGAGUGUCGAACAGCCUCCAGGACCCCCCCUCCCGGGAGAGCCAUAGUGGUCUGCGGAACCGGUGAGUACACCGGAAUUGCCGGGAUGACCGGGUCCUUUCUUGGAUAAACCCGCUCAAUGCCCGGAGAUUUGGGCGUGCCCCCGCGAGACUGCUAGCCGAGUAGUGUUGGGUCGCGAAAGGCCUUGUGGUACUGCCUGAUAGGGUGCUUGCGAGUGCCCCGGGAGGUCUCGUAGACCGUGCACCAUGAGCACGAAUC